GGCUGCGUCCGUCCAGGGGAUUACUGCACGUUUCCUGUUCAAUAACCUUGCAGUCUGCGUUCCAGGCUCAUUUUCUCUCGGCUGCGACUGGGGUGCAGUCCAGGGUUGAAAAAAGGAGGCUAUUUGUUACUAAAACAGGCUGUGCUGUCUAGGAGGAAAACUGCAAUAACAGUACAGCUUGUGACAACAGCAGGUUGUCCCACUCUCGUUUGUACAGGUCAAUAAUAAUGGUGGGAAUGAGACAUCGUUUUUUCCAUGAGGUCAGCACAGAGUCCUCACCGUGAUCCAGUUUGGAAGUCCUGAGACAGUGGGAUAACGACUGCAGCUGCGCACACUGUACUUGAUCCCAGUUUUAAUUCCGGCACAGCACUGAGACACGAGAAAGCUUUUCUUUGUUCUUUGCAAUACGAAAGGUGUGCUUUUGGAGAGAACUUUGGUGGUUUUUGUGUCCUAGAUGAUGUCCCUCAAGGAAAAUUCAGAAUGUUAAUGCCUGCAAAAUAGGCCGCAAGUUCCAUUUAAUUACCACAUUUAUAACCAUCGGCUCAUGAAAUCUGGAGUGUGGUUUUCCAGUAGUGCUUAGCAUGAUUCAUUUGUUUAUAUGGACUGAAAGCAUCUAAUUCUCAGCUGAUCAUUUUGAAAGCACCUGAUUCUGUACCCCUCGUCAUGAAAAUGUAAAUCGCACCCCACUGCCGGGGUUUUCUAAUCAGGACGUCCACAUGAGAGUCUCCGUACAUCCUCGGUGCGACAAAGCGACAAGGCUGAAAAAGCCAGCGGUCCUGUGACUGACAGGGAUCGGGCUUCAUGUCCAACACCCCACUGGCAAAGAACAGCCGCUCCACAAUGCCUCACACGUGACGGGUCUAUUUUCAGGUUCGUCGUUCAUCACUCUGGGCACCGCGUUUCAGAUAAAGAAAUCUAGGCGUGCAGAAAGUGUUUAAAAACUUUAAAAUUAAAAAAAAAAAGUCUCCUUUAUCCACAGUCCAACUUUAGUAAACACAAUUUUUUUCCAAUAGCAGUUUAGCACUAUAAACCUUUGCAGGCACUGCCAAUGAAUUCCUAUUUUAUGCAGCAAACCCAAGCAUUUAUUUCAAAGUCCCUCUUUCUUCUGCUCAAUAUUUUACUGUUUAAAGAAACCUGCUGGACUUGCAGGUACAGGUGCCUACCUAUCUUAACUUGACAUUCCCCACUCUGUAAAUGCUCACUAUCCGGACAGAUUGCGGGCCUGUGCUCUCUCUCUCUUUCCCCCCCCUGACCUUGAUGCGUCUUCGGAGGUGUCCGGCCUCCGCCAUCCGCGCCAGCGCAGUGUGACCGACCGCCGGGGCGGCGCCGCGGCUGGCGGCGCGCCAGGGCCUCGACAGCUGGCACGGCCGCCCUCCGCCGCGCCGACAAACAGCGCGGCUUGCGAUUUCUCUCCCGAGAUAACCGCGAGAAGAGAGGGAGAGAGGGAGAGGGAGAGAGCGGUGGCUGAUUGCGCGGCUCCGGCUCCGCUCCCCGGCUAAUUAACGCGCUUUGUUUUUCUUCACAGGGAAGGCUCACUUUCAGAAGUCUCUCUGCUGCUCAUUAAGCUAACAGCUUAGGCGAAGGGAGCUUCAGUGCUCAUUACCGACGCGACAGUGCGAGAAAAAGGAAGAGGUGCACUUUUAAUGGUUACUGGAGAGCCGCCGUCAUUCUUCCUCGCAGAAAUAUCACCAAGGGAACAGAUUACCAAGCCACGCUGCGGAGGCGGAAGUAUUGGGAUCUUCAAAACUGGCCUCGACGGGACCGCAGGAUCGCUCGGCCGAUCGUCUUUUAGGACGAGCUCUGGAAUUGGUUCCACACUGGUUACCAAUGGCAACAGAAGUCGAUCAAGCCGGGUAGAGGUUAACAUCUGGUUCUGCUCAGGAUUCUUCAGAUUCCUGGCAAGUCUGCUUCACGUUACAGAGGGCCCUAGCUGUCCAGGAGCACAGUUAAGGGGAAAACAAGCGCUGCAAAUGAUUGAAGAGUGAAUUCAAAGAACAUGAGGCCUAAUUCCAGAGGGAAUUUAAGGAAAAACAUUCCCCAAGAAAUCCCUGAACAGCCUGGUACAGAAUUCCUCCCCUACACGACAUUACACCCCACUGAAGUUUAACAGAUAAUCCUUAAAGGCCUUUAGGCCUGGCAAUAUUACCAGCUGGUAAUCAGCUUUUUCAUACUCAACACGAGACAUCUCGGGGCGGUUUCAGUGAAUUCAUGCAGGGGAUUUCACAAUCCGAGGUCAUGGUAACCCAGAACAGAGCCCCUCUCCUUGAGCCCUUCGGUGGAGUGAGCUUGUAUCCAAGAGACAUUCCAGAGGUUUAGGAAUACAGUGGUGCUAGAAAGGGUUAUGUUUCUAAAUAGGGCAGGGCCACCCAAACGCACACCUGCUUGUCCUCCCAUUGAUUGACACUCCUGACUCUAAUCAUCCCCUUAGCUGAACUGAUAAUCCUAGAGGUUCCCAUACUUUUUUCCUGCAAAGACAUUUAAUGUUGGAUCUUUUUUUAUCAAUAAAUGAAUGAAAGUAUAUCUUUUUGUGUUAUUCGUUUCAUGGGGUUCUCUUUCUCUCUUUUUAUGACUCAGAUGAAGAUCUGAUCGCAUUUUAGGCCAGAUUCAUGCAGAAAACUCUAAAGGGUUCACAGGCUUUCUAGCACCACUGUAAGGUCUUAAAAAAAAAAACAGUCAAAAGCUCAGAACAGCUAGCAGCCGUUUUGAAAUCAGGACAGAGUGCCUGAGAAAAUCACUUCAUCGCCUUCGCAGCACGAGGCCACAUGCAAAGUCAGGAAAGGUAGAAGCCAGCAGGAAAAGUUAUCCCGGGUGCUGUCUGGGCCCAGGAAGAAAACCGCAGCACUGAAACCCCAUCUCCUAGCGCAGCCGCCUCUCCCUGGAGGUCUGCGUUGUCCGAGAGUCUCUGCGCGUUACGUGGAGCACGCAGAUGUUCCAGAAUGACUCAGAAGGCUGGGUGUCGCGCCGCUGCCAGCAAAUUCUGUCGACAGGCCUGACGCUCCAUGCUCCUACCGCUGGAGCCAGACAAAGGCCAGGGAGCCUCCGAGGAAGAAUCCUAUCCCAGGUGAAAAGACAUUCAAGGCCAGGCCUCUCUGCGCAUACCAUGACAUCACACCAGCUGAGAGCUAAAACAUUUUGUAUGCAUUGGUGAGGUUUGUUUUUCCCCACAGAAACGUUCAUAGUGAUCAGUAUUGUCAUAAUUAUGUUACCUGUGAGAAGACAUUAGAAUAUACUGCAGAUCGCGCUGGACAAGACCCCGUCUACAGUGCCCUACCAGUGGAAAGAGUUCCGAUUCAAGUGUCCCGGUGCGUCCACACUGAAGUAACGUGGCCAAUUUACUGAGGCUUAACGGGCACAAACGCUAUCGAAACGGUUUACUUACAGCCCCCUGUCUGAGCCAGGAGACCCCAGCUGAUUAACAAGCUGUGACUGAAACGUUUCCUCUACGCUUAAUGAUAAUACGAUAUUUGUAUUACUGGAGCUCUAAAAACACGCCACAGCUGUGAGAAAUAAACUAUUUCUGCAGGGCCCUUUGCGGGGGGGAGCCUUCAUGCAGAAAUCUACAGAAUCCUCAACAUAAAGAUCAAACCUCUAAACCAUUAAAAGCCGUUUCUGAGUAGCCCUGCUCUUGACCAGCUGCUGAAAGGCAAGAACCCGAGAGCACCCCCCCGAGGCGCUCGGCUGCCCCUGCACACUACUAACUGCGGAGCGGACACUAACCCGGCGUGGCGCGGUUCACACGUCUAGUCCGAAUCCGAAGCAAGUAUCGCGCUCUCAUGACCCGAAGUAUGUUCAAGUCACUGGCGUUGUAAGGGGCUUUGCAGUGCAUGCAAAUUUUCAUCCAUUAACAGGAUCCCAUCACUUCUCUGGAGAGUGUCAUCCUUCGUUUCUGCAGAUGGUUUCCAUCGUGCUGCGCUGCCAAGCUCCCAUCCAAGACUCGCGAAGGAUGUGACUAUCUGCAGGAAUGCAGCACAUUCGGGUCUGUUUUUUUUUUUGUAAUUUUGUUGGAAUAUUUGACAUUAAAGGCAGCUGAAUGUUUCUGGCGCACUGGGCAUUUAUUUUUCUUAAGAAGAACGCGCUGUUCUUACGGUGACAAAGGUCGACCAUUUUUUUUUUUCAGCCCGGUCUGCCGUUGUGCUGCGUGGUGCGGAGAGCACAGGACCCAGGUGAAACCCCUCUCCUACCGUCUCAAUCA